rnacentral:rRNA from 1 species
GGGUUGUGAGGUUAAGCGACUAAGCGUACACGGUGGAUGCCCUGGCAGUCAGAGGCGAUGAAGGACGUGCUAAUCUGCGAUAAGCGCCGGUAAGGUGAUAUGAACCGUUAUAACCGGCGAUUUCCGAAUGGGGAAACCCAGUGUGAUUCGUCACACUAUCAUUAACUGAAUCCAUAGGUUAAUGAGGCGAACCGGGGGAACUGAAACAUCUAAGUACCCCGAGGAAAAGAAAUCAACCGAGAUUCCCCCAGUAGCGGCGAGCGAACGGGGAGGAGCCCAGAGCCUGAAUCAGCAUGUGUGUUAGUGGAAGCGUCUGGAAAGGCGCGCGAUACAGGGUGACAGCCCCGUACACAAAAGCGCAUGUGCUGUGAGCUCGAUGAGUAGGGCGGGACACGUGGUAUCCUGUCUGAAUAUGGGGGGACCAUCCUCCAAGGCUAAAUACUCCUGACUGACCGAUAGUGAACCAGUACCGUGAGGGAAAGGCGAAAAGAACCCCGGCGAGGGGAGUGAAAAAGAACCUGAAACCGUGUACGUACAAGCAGUGGGAGCACCCUU